GACAUAGGUGGCGAACGUUAUCCGGAAUUAUUGGGCGUAAAGGGUGCGUAGAUGGUUUGAAAAGUUAGCGGUGGGAAAUCGAGGCUCAACCUCGUGGAAGUCGUUAAUACUAUCAAACUAGAGUGCAGGAGAGGUUAACGGAACUCAAUGUGGAGCGGUAAAAUGCGUAGAUAUAUUGAAGAACACCAAUAACGGCGAAGGCAGUUAACUAUUCUGUUACUGACGUUGAGGCACGAAAGCGUGGGGAGCAAAAAGG
rnacentral:rRNA from 1 species